rnacentral:ribozyme from 1 species
UGACGACGACUUUACUUGUCCUCGGGCACGCUCUCAUAGACGGCCUCGAAUCCGAAGUCGUCCUCGGCGGCCCGGAAGCGGCGAUGCACUCGGCGGCGAUCCGGCGAGGCGGCAAGGCGCUGCGGCUGAGCGGAGGCGUGCGAACGAGCCUGCAACGGUCAGGCACGCGGCAGUCGCCAUCGUCGGGAGCGCCGGCGUGCGUGGCGUGCGUCUGCGUCGUCGCCCCUUCCGC